GUCAGCAUGGCUUAGUGGUUUGAGCCUUCUACUGUGGCUCUUGAAACUAGGGUUCAAAUCCCCAUUCAGCUG